AUUGAACGCUGGCGGCAGGCCUAACACAUGCAAGUCGAACGAGUGGCGGACGGGUGAGUAAUGUCUGGGAAACUGCCUGAUGGAGGGGGAUAACUACUGGAAACGGUCGCUAAUACCGCCUACCCUCCUAUUUGCCCAGAUGGGAUUAGCUUGUUGGUGGGGUAAAGGCUCACCCAGGCGACGAUCCCUCGCUGGUCUGAGAGGAUGACCAGCCACACUGGAACUGAGACACGGUCCAGACUCCUACGGGAGGCAGCAGUGGGGAAUAUUGCACAAUGGGCGCAAGACUGAUGCAGCCAUGCCGCGUGUAUGAAGAAGGCCUUCGGGUUGUAAAGUACUUUCAGCGGGGAGGCGUUACCCGCAGAAGAAGCACCGGCUAACUCCGUGCCAGCAGCCGCGGUAAUUC
rnacentral:rRNA from 1 species